GAAGAAAGGAAGCUAUGGUCACUA
rnacentral:siRNA from 1 species